rnacentral:rRNA from 1 species
UACGGAGGAUCCAAGCGUUAUCCGGAAUCAUUGGGUUUAAAGGGUCCGUAGGCGGUUUAAUAAGUCAGUGGUGAAAGCCCAUCGCUCAACGGUGGAACGGCCAUUGAUACUGUUAGACUUGAAUUAUUAGGAAGUAACUAGAAUAUGUAGUGUAGCGGUGAAAUGCUUAGAGAUUACAUGGAAUACCAAUUGCGAAGGCAGGUUACUACUAAAUUGAUUGACGCUGAUGGACGAAAGCGUGGGUAGCGAACAGG